rnacentral:lncRNA from 1 species
CACAAGGGAGUGAAGAAGCUCAACUCAGAGCAAAGCAUUUUGGCAGCAUCAGCAUAAAAUCCAAAUAUACCUUCUAACUUGCCAUUCUAGGUUUUAGAAAAAGCAUCUGGCAAUAAAUCUUACCUGUAUUGAAUGGGAAUUUUGUUGUGCCUGCUCUGCUUACACCAAGGGGCACAAUGUUAAAGGUUGGUGAGGAAACAGAAGAAAUCUGCACCUGACCAGCAUUAUAUCUUGAUUUCUAAAUUUGGAGAAGGAUUAAUUUAUGUUUUAGUUGAAAACACCAGUUACUGCCAAUGGCUCAAAGCAAUGGUAACCUGACACAUUACAAAAGUCUCCGUUUCUGUCAGAUGCAUCUAAUUUUCCUCAAGGCUGAAUUUUCUGAGUAUAUGGGGAGGAAAAUAAAAAAUAAACAAAUCAGAUGGUAGCAUAUAGGCACUGAAGUACAAGGGGGUACAAACAGUGGAGAUGCAAGAACGGCAACUCAUAUGUUUAAGCACGUAUGAUUAAACUUCCACCUUUAUUUAUUUACUAACAAAGAAGAAUGAAGACUAAAAAUAUUCCAUAACCAAGCAUAGCCAAAAGCAUUGAUACAUGGACCGGGCUGAAAACUCUCUUGAUUAUAACACAUGUGAGGGGCCUCAGGAUUCACAAACAAGUUUUCGCCAAAUUUAAAAUCCUGAAAGUUUGACUUUGGUCGGACCAUGGAUAUUGCUGCACAGAAAUGAGGAGGAAGGAGGACAUUCUGUUUCUGCUGUUGAGACAGAGUUUUGUCUGCAGCAGUGAAUGUUAGAUGCACACAGCCUGAGGAGCAGUCAGCAAAGGAAACAGUGAUGAACUGAGGUCCAGGAAAGGCAGUGGCAGGAGCACCACUUUUCAGUUCCAGCUCCCAAAACUAAACACAUUAUUUCUUUAGCAGUUACUUAAUAUUAAAUACUGACAUACUUGGGCUAUUCACCAUCCCAGACAGGUGAUGAACAAUAAUAUU